CGGGUGAGUAUACAUCGGAACGUGCCCUGUAGUGGGGGAUAACUAGUCGAAAGAUUAGCUAAUACCGCAUACGACCUGAGGGUGAAAGUGGGGGACCGCAAGGCCUCAUGCUAUAGGAGCGGCCGAUGUCUGAUUAGCUAGUUGGUGAGGUAAAGGCUCACCAAGGCGACGAUCAGUAGCUGGUCUGAGAGGACGAUCAGCCACACUGGGACUGAGACACGGCCCAGACUCCUACGGGAGGCAGCAGUGGGGAAUUUUGGACAAUGGGCGAAAGCCUGAUCCAGCAAUGCCGCGUGUGUGAAGAAGGCCUUCGGGUUGUAAAGCACUUUUGUCCGGAAAGAAAUGGCUCUGGUUAAUACCUGGGGUCGAUGACGGUACCGGAAGAAUAAGGACCGGCUAACUACGUGCCAGC
rnacentral:rRNA from 1 species